UGAAGAUGAACCUAGCAGUAGUAUUUACACCACUUGUUGUGUGCCCACUGUGGGCCCGGCGCCAUGCCGAGUGCUCUAUGGAUGUGAGAGAAACGGAGGCCCAGAAAGCAGAAAUGAUGUGUUAAGAUCACUCAUCAAGCUGAUGGUACAGAGAUGAGAACACUGAAGCAGUUUUUUCUAAAGAUAGCUGCCUGGCACAGUGGCUCACAUCUGUAGUCCCAGCAUUUGGGGAGGCCAAGGCAGGUGGAUCACUUGAGGCCAGGAAUUCAAGACCAGCAUGGCCAACAUGUUUUCCAUCCUUCCUUCAGUGCUGGGAGAGAAAAGCAUACGACAUAGACAGGGAGGUCAAGCUCCACCACGCAGAUGAGGUGCAGGCCACCAGUCUUCCUCUGCCACAUCUCUUUCUGAAAAGGCAGCCUGUGCUGAGAAACCAUGACUGAGUAAGCCAAGCUUUGUUGGCCGCACCUGCCAAGCCACAGGGUGCCUCAGGCUUGGAGCAUCCCGGAGCCAGUUACAACCCAAGACUUCAGCCUUCUGGAAGGUGUUGGGUCAGCCACCCUGAAGGACGAUCCUGCCCAAGUGACAUGCUUUGCUCUUCCUUCUCACCCAGGACUUCACAUUCACCCUUGCAAUCCAUGUGGGGACACUGUUGGAUAGGAGGCGUGGUCCCAGCGUGGUCUCCCUGUCUGGGCCUCUGCCUAUGCCAAAUGUUUGCCUUACGCUG
rnacentral:lncRNA from 10 species